AGGGCUCAAAUGGAAAGCAGCUGCAGAGACAGAGAAUCCGAUUGUGAAGGCACCCGAGACUCCAGGCAGGCGGAAGAGGCAGCGUCUUGGGUGCUGGGCUGGGUAACAGAGGCCAGGGUAUUGACCAGAAACUCCAACAAGCAGGGGACAGCUUGGGGGGUGGGGGGUUGUCUCCCACCCCUUCUUCAGGGUGCUGGCCUAGGAGACAGGGACCCCGCCUCGGGCAUCUCCUGCUUAACCUCAGUUUCUGUGUCCAGACAUGGGCAGGCCAUCCUGACUCUCUUAGCCUUGGUUUCCAUCUCCAAAAUGUGUCCAGUAGUGGCACCUUCCUUCUAGGGAGGGGUUGUGUGGUUAAGGUCUCGGGGCGGGCUCCUCAGUCAAACAGGCUUGGCUUUGAUCCUGCCUCUGCCUCUCACUAACUGUGUGACCUGGAGUAAGCCACCUCCCCUCCCUGUGCCUUGAUUUUCCCAUCUGUGAAAUGGAAACAAUAAUAGAACUAAUCUGCUGGGGAGAUGAACUGAGAAGACUCAGCCUGGUGCCUGGAGCAGAGUAAAGACUAAUGAUUAUUGUUGUCUUUCUUUUUGGAGGCAGAGUCUCACUGUGUUGCCCAGCCUGGAGUGCAGUGGCAGUGGCGCGAUCUCGGCUCACUACAAGCUCCACCUCCCAGGUUCAAUCAUUGACCCUCCAGCCUCAGCCUCCCGAGAAGCUAGGACUAUAGGCUCACACCACCAGGCCCAGCUAAUUUUUUGUAUUUUUAGUAGAGACCAGGUUUCACCAUGUUGACCAGGCUGGUCUUGAACUCCUGGCCUGAAGUGAUCUGCCUGCCUUAGCCUCCCAAAUUGCUGGGAUUCCAGGUGUGAGUCACCGCGUCCAGGCAUCUUUCUUAUUAUUAUUAUCCCAGGAGCUCCACCUGCUAAGGCCCCAGCCUCAGAAAGCCUCCCUUCCCCUGAGUGCUGGUUCAUCUCAACAAUUUCCUCACAUAUUUCUUGAGCAGCAACUAUACCGGUCUUGGCAAAGCCAAGGUUCUAUCUAGGAGAAGAAAGACAUUAAAUGAAGGACCCGUGUGUGAAGGGCUUGGUGAGUAGCAGGGGCUCAUUGACACUGUUCACCAGCACCUGCCCCCUCAGCUGCUCUGUGCUGGACUCUUUCUGGGCUCUGGGGACACAGUCUUCAGGGGAGUCCCAAUCAGAGGGUCUGGGUGGAGGUGAGAAGCUGGUGUGUGGAUGAGGCAGUUUCUCACACUGUGGCAAGGUCUGUGAUGGAGGAAGUCCAGGUGACUUUGGGAGCUAGAGGUCAGGAUGGGCUUCCUGGAGGAAGUGGUUAGGAAUGAAAAUAACAUCUAUUCAGCAUUAUUAUUAUGAUGUGUCAGGCACUGUUCUCUCCUCAACACCCCGCUCCAGAAGGUUUUCUUCUCACACACCCAUUCUACAGGUGAGUCUGGGAUCAAAGAGGCCCAGUAGGGUGUCAGAGGUCACGUAGCCAAGACAUGGCAGAGCUGAGAUGAAACCCCGCAGUGGGACACUGCCCCACUUGCCCCCCGACAGCGCUCUCCAGCCUCCAGGCCUUUGCUCCAGCUCUUCCUUCUGCCCAGACAUUCCAGACCCUGCACCGUCUCAUAUCCACUCUGCUGGAGGAAUGAAGAGAACAGCCCUUGGAGGCCGCAAAGUGUCCUCAAGCCUCAGUUUUCCCAUCUAUGAAAUGGGGAUAGCAUGGGGCUUUCCUCUCGGGCUGUAAUCGUAGCUACUCAGGAGGCUGAGGCAGGAGAAUCACUUGAACCUGGGAGGCGGAGGUUGCAGCGAACCCAGAUCGCGACACUGCACUCCAGCAUGGGCAACAGAGCGGGACUCCAUCUUCCAGAAACCCUCAGAAUGAUGGGGCAGAGGAAAGGCCCUCCCGAGUGAGAAAGGGCCCAGGAGCCCAUUGCCUCUUUAGGAAACGUUGGAAGUAAGUGAUUCAUUCCUGGUUGGAACAUCUUCCACAUUUGGUCUGUCAUUCCGCCAGUCAUUCUGUGGGUCCUGAUCUCAGGUUUCCAGACCACGAUGGUUUCAUUGCUGAGUUGAUGGGACAUGGUCCUUUGUGAAACCCGUUCUGUGGUGGAAUUGUGUCUUGACCCAAUGAGCCCGUUCUGCUCACACCGGAGUUGUCGUUUGGCUAAUUCAUCCUGUAGACACAAGACAUUUCAGAGCAGAUUUUCCAAAGCCCCGGGGAGGGGAGAAGCUCUGCGUUAGGCACACAGGGAGCUCAAGGAAGACUCAGCAAAGCGCCACUAUGGUUGCGGCUGUUGGUCAGACCUCACCGUGGGUGCUGCUCCCCUUAUCAGCUAGCUGCCUUCUGACCCUGGAGGGAGGAACUCUGGCUCCUAUUCCAUAGAUGAGGGAACUGAGGCUCAGAGAAGCUUCACACCAACUCCUGUCC
rnacentral:lncRNA from 1 species